rnacentral:rRNA from 1 species
UACGAAGGGGGGCUAGCGUUGCUCGGAAUCACUGGGCGUAAAGCGCACGUAGGCGGAUUGCUAAGUCAGGUGUGAAAUCUCCACGCUCAACGUGGAGGCGCCACCUGAAACUGCCGUGACUCGAGUCCGGUAGGGGAGUGUGGAAUUCCUGGUGUAGCGGUGAAAUGCGCAGAUAUCAGGAGGAACACCAGUGGCGAAGGCGGCACUCUGGGCCGGUACUGACGCUGAGGAGCGAAAGCGUGGGGAGCGAACAGG